rnacentral:lncRNA from 1 species
AUGGAAAUAAUGACCGCCGGCAUGCGUCAGGCUCUUGGUGGGCGCUCCGGGUCUCUGUGUCUGAUGAGGAUGUCUGAGAGAGCUCUGGACGAGGACGAACACCAGCUCAACACGUCUCUGAACUGCAGCGGCGACACACAGCUGCAAACACCUGGACCGAGCGCUGAAAGACUCCAGGUACAGCGGCACGAGCUCCGUCUCCUCCCAGAGUUCAGUGCAGUGUGUCAUGAUGUGCUUCAGUUCUGCAUGCUGCUCAUUUAUCAUCGAGGAUCUGGCUGUGCUUCCUCGAUUACCCCAGGAUCAGCAGGAUUCAGGAGGACGAGGCUGAAGGACAGUCGGUCGGGGACAGCCUCCAAGCAGCUCAGAGAACGAGGCCCAGUCUUCAGAGCCGCGGCCGUGGAGCAGCUCCAGCCUCAACCUGAAGCAUCCCGGUCCUGACCGGCGGAGACCGCUCCAGCAGCAGCAGGAGCGCGGGACGCCUCUCAAACACAGGUGAGGGACGCACGGACUGAUUCAGUGAUGAUUGCUGACACUCUUCCUCUGCUUUUCCUCUCAGUCUGUCUCUGUGUGUAAUAACAGCAUGUUUUCUGUAGAGACUCAUUCUGUGUCUCACUGCAUGCCAUCAAACUCUCAGUCUCUUAUUAACACUGUUUGUUCAGUCCUCUGAACUCAUAGCUGAUCGUUUCUGCACUACUGUUCAAAAGGUUGGGCUUAAUAAGAUUUGUUCAUUUAGGGUGCAUUAAAAUCAUCUAAAUACAGUAAAAACUGAUAUAUUAUGAAAAAUUACUACUUUUUUUUGGAAAAUGUCAUACACUACAAUUUAAAAAUGUUGGCUCUGUAAAAAAAAAACACUGAAAUUCAACAAGUUUGCAUUAAUUUGAUCAAAAGUGACAGUAAAGACAUUUAUAAUGCUACAAAUGUUUUCCAUUUCAAAUAAAUACUGUUUUGAACUUUCUGUUCAUCUGUGAAUGUAUCACAGUUUGCACAAAAAUAUUGUGCAGCACAACUGUUUUCAACACUGAUAAUAAUCAGAAAUGUUUCUUGAGCAGUAAAUCAUCAUAUUAGAAUGAUUUCUGAAGAUCAUGUGACACUGAAGACUGGAGUAAUGAUGCUGAAAAUACAGCUGCGCAUCACAGAAAUACAUUACAGUUUAACAGAGAUUCACACAGAAAACAGCUGUUUUACAUUCUAAUAAUGUUUGUUCAGUCCUCUGAACUCAUAGCUGAUCGUUUCUGCACUACUGUUCAAAAGGUUGGGCUUAAUAAGAUUUGUUCAUUUAGGGUGCAUUAAAAUCAUCUAAAUACAGUAAAAACUGAUAUAUUAUGAAAAAAUUACUACUUUUUUUU